rnacentral:rRNA from 1 species
CACGUAGGGGCCGAGCGUUGUCCGGAUUCAUUGGGCGUAAAGAGCUCGUAGGCGGUGUGUCGCGUCGGCCGUGAAAACUUGGGGCUUAACUCUGAGCGUGCGGUCGAUACGGGCAUCACUUGAGUUCGGCAGGGGAGACUGGAAUUCCUGGUGUAGCGGUGAAAUGCGCAGAUAUCAGGAGGAACACCGGUGGCGAAGGCGGGUCUCUGGGCCGAUACUGACGCUGAGGAGCGAAAGCAUGGGGAGCGAACAGG